GCGUCGAAACGAAACUUUUUUUCUCACAACAAAUGGACGAAAAACGAACAAGAAAAAAAGAAAAUAAGCAGGAAAAAUAAAGUUUUGCCAUGACUUCAUUUAGAAUAAGUAAAAAUGACUUUAUGCGGUUAAUACGAAAAAUGAAAAUCAAUAACGGAGAGAAUAAACGGAGAGAGAGAGAGAAAGAGAGAGUGCCAUGGGGCAAAAAAAAGUUGCCAUCAGGCAAACAGUUAAACAGUUGAACACUUUCCCAUGGGCUGCCAACCCUCAGCUAUAGAACAGCUUUACUAUAUAGUAUGUGGUAGAUAUAGGCUCUGUGUUAUUUGAACGUUUCUAACCGAUUGCCCAAUAAUAAGCCAUGAAAUAUUCAAUACACUGCGGAAACACGGAAACGGAAACAACACACGAAACGCAACUGACAACUGGCAACUGACGGCAGCAUAUAACAUAUACUAUACUAUAUGUUAGUAGCAACAGCAAAUACUAAAUGAAACCGCAACAAAACUCCGCAAUAUGGAAACCACUGAAGCAGCUCUAGCGGAUCACAUUAGAGUUCCACACGCACUGCCAGCAAAGCAAAAAAAAAAUGACAUAAAGGCAAACCGCAAAGAGGCAGAAAAUGCAAGAAAUAUGUAUAAUGAAAAAUCGAAUCGUGCGUUGGAAAAACAAUUUACACACACUCAAAACACAGAACAGCAAAUGGCAUAAAUAUUAUGUACAGACAGACGGACGGAGAGUGUUGUAUUUUAUAUUCGUACUACAAAAGUCAGAGGGAGCUCGUAUUUAUUAAGCCUACAAAUGGGUUUGCAAAGAAGGGAGCCAAAGCUAAAGCUGCCUCUGUGUGUCCGCCAGCAUAAACCAAACAACAAAAUCCGGAAAGUUUCCCAACUGCAUUCAAAUAAGUACCACGGGGAGUAUGCAAUAACUAUCGUAUACUAUAUAUAAACUGACUUCUUUAAUUAACAACACAACAAAAAAACGGUGGAGACAUUACAACAACUAAAAAGUAGAUAAUCAUCUGAAUGCACACUAUAUAUCAGUAGCUGUUCUUUUCUGAUCUGAUAAAAAUGAUGACAUGUGA